AGCGAAGGGCACGCCCCGCGCGGGUGCCAGGGAGGCCGGCAGGGGCGUCCGCGGUCGCUGCUCACCUGCGCUCCCCGCUGCCCGGCCCAGCCCGCCUCGCCACCGAGUCUGGAAGCCCACACUCACCCCUUUACCCGGGAAACGCGGCCGGAGCCGGCGGCGGGUCGGGAGUCCGAGAUGGUAGAUCCCCCUCCAGGCGCCUCGCUGACAUUUUGUCCCGGACGGAAAACCUCCGCGCGUGCCCCUUAAAGACACAGCGCUGCAUUCACACGUCUGCGGGGAAAGGGGGGCCGUCACGUGUGGCCUUCGCCCGAAAGCGGUAGGGGAGUCGCUCUGAAACCGCCAAGGAUCGCGAGCGACAGAUUUGUGUUGGCCAGGGUUUUAAGAUGACGCAAUAGCUGAGUGUGGUUGAAAUGCUGUAGGCGCAUGAUGUCACAAGUUAUUGGAAGAAAUCCCUCCAACCUAGGUUGGGACAGAUGAAGGCGGCGCUUAUUGGUGUUCACCAAAACACCAGCAUGGUGUACCAGCUUUGGCUAGAUGAUGCUCAGACGGGCCUGUCUAAUUGCAGGAAAACAAACUCAGGGCUCCCACUGAUUCUACAUUACGG
rnacentral:lncRNA from 10 species